rnacentral:rRNA from 1 species
GGAUGAACGCUAGCUACAGGCUUAACACAUGCAAGUCGAGGGGCAGCAUGGUCUUAGCUUGCUAAGGCCGAUGGCGACCGGCGCACGGGUGAGUAACACGUAUCCAACCUGCCGUCUACUCUUGGACAGCCUUCUGAAAGGAAGAUUAAUACAAGAUGGCAUCAUGAGUCCGCAUGUUCACAUGAUUAAAGGUAUUCCGGUAGACGAUGGGGAUGCGUUCCAUUAGAUAGUAGGCGGGGUAACGGCCCACCUAGUCUUCGAUGGAUAGGGGUUCUGAGAGGAAGGUCCCCCACAUUGGAACUGAGACACGGUCCAAACUCCUACGGGAGGCAGCAGUGAGGAAUAUUGGUCAAUGGGCGAGAGCCUGAACCAGCCAAGUAGCGUGAAGGAUGACUGCCCUAUGGGUUGUAAACUUCUUUUAUAAAGGAAUAAAGUCGGGUAUGGAUACCCGUUUGCAUGUACUUUAUGAAUAAGGAUCGGCUAACUCCGUGCCAGCAGCCGCGGUAAUACGGAGGAUCCGAGCGUUAUCCGGAUUUAUUGGGUUUAAAGGGAGCGUAGAUGGAUGUUUAAGUCAGUUGUGAAAGUUUGCGGCUCAACCGUAAAAUUGCAGUUGAUACUGGAUAUCUUGAGUGCAGUUGAGGCAGGCGGAAUUCGUGGUGUAGCGGUGAAAUGCUUAGAUAUCACGAAGAACUCCGAUUGCGAAGGCAGCCUGCUAAGCUGCAACUGACAUUGAGGCUCGAAAGUGUGGGUAUCAAACAGGAUUAGAUACCCUGGUAGUCCACACGGUAAACGAUGAAUACUCGCUGUUUGCGAUAUACUGCAAGCGGCCAAGCGAAAGCGUUAAGUAUUCCACCUGGGGAGUACGCCGGCAACGGUGAAACUCAAAGGAAUUGACGGGGGCCCGCACAAGCGGAGGAACAUGUGGUUUAAUUCGAUGAUACGCGAGGAACCUUACCCGGGCUUAAAUUGCAGAUGAAUUACGGUGAAAGCCGUAAGCCGCAAGGCAUCUGUGAAGGUGCUGCAUGGUUGUCGUCAGCUCGUGCCGUGAGGUGUCGGCUUAAGUGCCAUAACGAGCGCAACCCUUGUUGUCAGUUACUAACAGGUUCCGCUGAGGACUCUGACAAGACUGCCAUCGUAAGAUGUGAGGAAGGUGGGGAUGACGUCAAAUCAGCACGGCCCUUACGUCCGGGGCUACACACGUGUUACAAUGGGGGGGUACAGAGGGCCGCUACCACGCGAGUGGAUGCCAAUCCCAAAAACCUCUCUCAGUUCGGACUGGAGUCUGCAACCCGACUCCACGAAGCUGGAUUCGCUAGUAAUCGCGCAUCAGCCACGGCGCGGUGAAUACGUUCCCGGGCCUUGUACACACCGCCCGUCAAGCCAUGGGAGCCGGGGGUACCUGAAGUGCGUAACCGCGAGGAGCGCCCUAGGGUAAAACUGGUGACUGGGGCUA